CUCCAUCCAUCACGCGCAGGAAUCAGACAGAAAAAUGAGAGUUUGUGAUGCUGGAGGUGAUCAGAUCUAUAGGAGAUCCACAGAAUUAUGGGAAUCUAACAUGUUCUGAGCGCGCGCACCGGAGAGCUCAGGAGUUUUCACUUUUGAUGGUCCUGUGAUGGAGGAGGAAUGUUUGCCAUUCAGAUCCUUUACUUACAGCCACAUUUACUGUUUAAAUGUCACCUGAGUUUCAUUUUGAGUUGAUUUUGAUUCAGUUUCUGUUGAGUUAUUGUUGUAACUUUUUGAUGGAAAUAUGCAUCUGACCACAUCGGCUCCGAAAUUACCUUUAUUUAGCAUUAAUUCAGCAAAAAAUGAUUAUUUUUCAUAGCUGGAAAUAAAUUCAGGAAUUAAGGGGUUACGUUUACCUAGAAGACGGUUGCCCACUUUUAGGUGUGAAAUCGUGAUAACGUGAAAAGCGAGUCCUUCUCGUCGGCCUCCUUCUCAUAUGUUCCAUCAUAACUUCUGCAAUGGAACAGAACUGCCCUAACUUUUAUAAAUUCUCUAUAAAGUGCUGUAAAACUUCAAAGCAGACUCAUGGGAGUGCAGGCACACAUCAACGCUGCCUUCUUUCUUCUUGACAGGCAAUGCAGGUGCUUUCAUAAUCAGGAGACAGACAUGGCAAUCUGAUUUCUUUUUGGAAGCUGUAUGUUUGCAUCUAUGAGCUCUAUCAACAGACUAAAGCUCCUAAACCCAGCAGAACUGUAAAAGGAACAGGUAAAGUCCCAUCAGGUGUAUGACAUGCUCGCUUCAUUUGACUCCUCCCACUGUCCGCAGGAAGCCCCAAUCCAACCUCUUACUGCUCUCAUUUUUGGUGAAUAUGACUCAGUCUGGAUUUGAACUCAAGACCUUCCAGUGUCAGAGUGGACACUCCACCACUAGGCCACUGAGCUGGUCUUAUAGGGAGCUAUAUCUACAGUAUAUACAGUGCUUCUCAGUGAUGCAGCCUCUGCCUUGCAUUAAGAAACCCAUAAUAGGCUCUAAAAAUUCAUCAUUAUCUUUUAUUUUUUAAAAUAUAUGGAUUUUUUAGGGAAUCAUUGUGGAAAUUGUGGAAUAAUAGAGGUACUUAUACUUUUUGGAAAGGCACUUGGGUGCUGAUGGAAGCGGUUCACACACUCACUCACAGCAGCAUCACUCACAAACAGGAGGUUCUGGUUUAAACAGGCAAUCUUUGUUACACGGCUGGACUUUGCUAACAGCAGCUGCCAAAAGGCUUUUAUGAAUCAACACAGAGGACGUUUCCAUUGCUUUUGCUUCAGACCUUUGGGUGGAAACAUAUCUGGUCAUAACAAAAAAAAA